CAGUUCUCUGAAGAAUAUGGAGCCAUUUAUGGAUGAAGAAACUGGGGCUCAAAGAGGACCAUCCAUCUUGCAAGCCAUGAAGGCUAAUUUUGUAGCUGUGAAAUUUGACUCCAAGCUGCCUGGAAGCAAAAAUAGACACACGGAGCCACCAUGCUGUAAGGAGGCCCAAGCAGCCAUGUGGAAAGGCCAACACGGAGAAGAACCAAGGCCCCUGGCUGACAGCCCAAGCUGAGAUCCCAGCCAGCAGCCAGCACCAAACAUGGAAGAAGGUUAGUUUUGACUUCCCAGCCAUCCCAAC